CGAGGCUUGACAUCCUAGGAACCCUGUAGAAAUACGGGGGUGCCUUCGGGAGCCUAGUGACAGGUGCUGCAUGGCCGUCGUCAGCUCGUGUCGUGAGAUGUUGGGUUAAGUCCCGCAACGAGCGCAACCCUUGUCGUAUGUUGUAUUUUUCAUGCGAGACUGCCCGGGCCAACCGGGAGGAAGGUGGGGAUGACGUCAGGUCAGCAUGGCCCUUACGCCUCGGGCUACACACGUCAUACAAUGGCCGGUACAACGCGCCGCGAAACCGCGAGGUGGAGCUAAUCGCAUCAAAACCGGUCUCAGUUCGGAUUGGAGGCUGCAACUCGCCUCCAUGAAGUCGGAUUCGCUAGUAAACGUGGGUCAGCACACCACGUUGAAUACGUUCCC
rnacentral:rRNA from 1 species